rnacentral:rRNA from 1 species
UACGUAGGUGGCAAGCGUUGUCCGGAUUUACUGGGCGUAAAGAGCGCGCAGGCGGUCGUUCAAGUCGCGUGUGAAAGCCCCCGGCUCAACUGGGGAGGGUCACGCGAUACUGAUCGACUCGAAGGCAGGAGAGGGUAGUGGAAUUCCCGGUGUAGUGGUGAAAUGCGCAGAUAUCGGGAGGAACACCAGUAGCGAAGGCGGCUCGCUGGGCCAUUCCUGACGCUGAGACGCGAAAGCUAGGGGAGCGAACAGG